AGUGAACGCUGGCGGUAGGCCUAACACAUGCAAGUCGAACGACAGCACAGUAAGAGCUUGCUCUUACGGGUGGCGAGUGACGGACGGGUGAGGCAUACAUCGGAAUCUACUAAUACGUGGGGGAUAACGUAAGACAACUUCCGCUAAUACCGCAUACGACCUACGGGUGAAAGCAGGGGUUCUUCGGACCUUGCGCGUUUCAAUGAGACGAUGUCGCAUUAGCUAGUUGGCGGGGUAAAGGAACACCAAGGCAACGAUGCGUAGCCGAUCUGAGAGGAUGAGCGGCCCCACUGGAACUGAGACACGGUCCAGACUCCUACGGGAGGCAGCAGUAGGGAAUCUUCGGCAAUGGGCGAAAGCUUGACGGAGCCACGCCGCGUGAGUGAUGAAGGUCUUCGGGUCUUAAAACUCUGUUAUUAGGGAAGAAAAAAUGUGUAAGUAACUCCGCACGUUUUGACGGUACCCAAACAGAAAGCCACGGCUAACUUCGUG
rnacentral:rRNA from 1 species